rnacentral:rRNA from 1 species
UACGUAGGGCGCAAGCGUUGUCCGGAAUUAUUGGGCGUAAAGAGCUCGUAGGCGGCUUGUCACGUCGGAUGUGAAAAGCCCCGGGGCUUUAACCCCGGGUCUGCUUUCGAUACGGGGCAGACUGGAGGUAUGCAGGGGAGAACGGAAUUCCUGGUGUAGCGGUGAAAUGCGCAGAUAUCAGGAGGAACACCGGUGGCGAAGGCGGUUCUCUGGGCAUGUCCUGACGCUGAGGAGCGAAAGUGUGGGGAGCGAACAGG